rnacentral:rRNA from 1 species
UACGGAGGAUCCAAGCGUUAUCCGGAUUCAUUGGGUUUAAAGGGUGCGUAGGCGGAAUGAUAAGUCAGUGGUGAAAUCCUGCAGCUUAACUGCAGAACUGCCAUUGAUACUGUCAAUCUUGAGUACAUUUGAUGAGGGCGGAAUGUGUCAUGUAGCGGUGAAAUGCUUAGAUAUGACACAGAACACCGAUUGCGAAGGCAGCUCUCAAAAACUGUAACUGACGCUGAGGCACGCAAGCGUGGGUAUCAAAACAGG